CAGGGAGACAACAAAAUGUUUAAUAUUAUUAUUUUGUCACCUUAGGUCGAUCGGUAUCUCACGUUCUUAAUUUAUUAAGAAUUUCAUUUUCUAAGUUUUUCUAGGUCACACCCAUUAUUUUUCCUGGGCCAUUAGCUCAGGUGGUUAGAGCGCACCCCUGAUAAGGGUGAGGUCCCUGGUUCAAGUCCAGGAUGGCCCAUAUCUCUAUGUUGGGGGUAUAGCUCAGUUGGUAGAGCGCCUGCUUUGCAAGCAGGAUGUCAGCGGUUCGAGUCCGCUUACCUCCACUGAUUACCACCUCUUCCAUAACCGGUAGUAAAGGAAAUGUUUUGAGUUGUGAUCAAAUUCUGAAAGAAUCUAGCUUCCUAAUGAAGAAAUCAUUAAGAUGCUGGACUCAUUGAAUUAAUUUCAUUGUUUUCAGAGAACCUUGACAACUGCAUAGAUUAUUUUAAAGACAAUAAGCAUCUUUAAUGAUGCAGAUUUAUUAUUUGUGCGAAUGCAUUAAUAACAAUUCUAUUAAGCUGAUGCUUCAAUUUUUGAAGUUAUU
rnacentral:tRNA from 1 species